rnacentral:misc_RNA from 1 species
UGGUUCUGGCAUCGAUGAAGAACGCAGCGAAAUGCGAUAAGUAAUGUGAAUUGCAGAAUUCAGUGAAUCAUCGAAUCUUUGAACGCACAUUGCGCCCCUUGGCAUUCCGAGGGGCACACCUGUCCGAGCGUCAUUGCACCUCUCGAGCGCCCUCCCCGGGGGCUCGGUGUUGAGCCGCGCGUCCGUCGGGACGGGCUCGAACGGCAGUGGCGGUCCGGCGCGCCUUCCAGUGCAGUACGUUGUCGUUCGCUGGGACGGCGCGGCCCGGGUCCGGCCAGACCAAACCCCCCCGCAAGAUCGCACCGGUUGACCUCGGAUCAGGUGGGGAUACCCGCUGA